GGAUUAGGCAUGCAAGUCGAACGAGAAAGGUCUCUUCGGAGACUGAGUAAAGUGGCGGACGGGUGAGUAAUGCAUAAAUAACUUACCCCUGAGAUGGGAAAAACGUCUCGAAAGGGGCGCUAAUACCCAAUGCCGUCUUGGUUUUGCGAAACCACGAUGAAAGGAGGCCUCUGACUCAAGCUUCCGCUCAGGGAGAGGUUUAUGUCCUAUUAGCUUGUUGGUGAGGUAAGAGCUCACCAAGGCUGCGAUGGGUAGCCGACCUGAGAGGGUGACCGGCCACACUGGGACUGAGACACUGCCCAGACUCCUACGGGAGGCUGCAGUCGAGAAUCUUCCGCAAUGCGCGUAAGCGUGACGGAGCGACGCCGCGUGGGUGACGAAGGCUUUCGGGUUGUAAAGCCCUGUCAGCUAUUAGGAAAUGCGGGUGGCGAAUAGCUGUCCCGCUUGACCACGUAGCAAAGGAAGCACCGGCUAAAUACGUGCCAGCAGCCGCGGUAAUACGUAUGGUGCAAACGUUGUUCGGAAUCACUGGGCCUAAAGAGCGCGUAGGCGGCCAGGUAAGUCAGGUGUGAAAUCCCUCGGCUCAACCGAGGAACUGCACUUGAUACUGUCUGGCUAGAGUGCAGGAGGGGAGAGUGGAAUUCCUGGUGGAGCGGUGAAAUGCGUAGAUAUCAGGAGGAACGUCGGUGGCGAAAGCGACUCUCUGGUCUGCUACUGACGCUGAGGCGCGAAAGCUAGGGGAGCAAACGGGAUUAGAUACCCCGGUAGUCCUAGCCCUAAACGAUGGGCACUAAGUAGAGGGGUUUU
rnacentral:rRNA from 1 species